rnacentral:misc_RNA from 1 species
GAAAUGCGAUAAUUAAUGUGAAUUGCAGAAUUCAGUGAAUCAUCGAGUCUUUGGACGCACAUUGCGCCCCCUGGUAUUCCGGGGGGCAUGCCUGUCCGAGCGUCAUUGCUGCCCUCAAGCACGGCUUGUGUGUUGGGCUUCCGUCCCUGGCAACGGGGACGGGCCCAAAAGGCAGUGGCGGCACCAUGUCUGGUCCUCGAGCGUAUGGGGCUUUGUCACCCGCUCCCGUAGGUCCAGCUGGCAGCUAGCCUCGCAACCAAUCUUUUUAACCAGGUUGACCUCGGAUCAGGUAGGGAUACCCGCUGAACUUAAGC